GAUGAACGCUGGCGGCGUGCCUAAUACAUGCAAGUCGAGCGAACAGACGAGGAGCUUGCUCCUUUGACGUUAGCGGCGGACGGGUGAGUAACACGUGGAUAACCUACCUAUAAGACUGGGAUAACUUCGGGAAACCGGAGCUAAUACCGGAUAACAUGUUGAACCGCAUGGUUCAACAGUGAAAGACGGUCUUGCUGUCACUUAUAGAUGGAUCCGCGCCGCAUUAGCUAGUUGGUAAGGUAACGGCUUACCAAGGCAACGAUGCGUAGCCGACCUGAGAGGGUGAGCGGCCACACUGGAACUGAGACACGGUCCAGACUCCUACGGGAGGCAGCAGUAGGGAAUCUUCCGCAAUGGGCGAAAGCCUGACGGAGCAACGCCGCGUGAGUGAAGAAGGUCUUCGGAUCGUAAAACUCUGUUAUUAGGGAAGAACAAAUGUGUAAGUAACUAUGCACGUCUUGACGGUACCUAAUCAGAAAGCCACGGCUAACUACGUG
rnacentral:rRNA from 1 species